AGGGUUUGCGUGAGAUGAAAGUGUGUGAGUCAGAUUGAAUUUUUCAGAGCUGCCUGGGGGUUGCUCUGAGUUCUCUGUCAGGUUUCUCUUCAGGUUUUGUCCAGGGUUUUGUUUCAAGGAAACCUCAGAGUAUUUUGCUUCUCUUCCUUUUUCUGUCUGAUCUCCCUCUUUUAUAACCUGAUUUUUAUGGCUUUGUGGGCUCAAAUGAGAGAGGUCCAAGUCCAAGUUUUUUCUAUUAUAUAUUUUUUU
rnacentral:lncRNA from 1 species